AUUGAACACUGGCGGAAUGCUUUACACAUGCAAGUCGAACGGUAGAGGGGGCAACCCCUCGAGAGUGGCGAACGGGUGAGUAAUAUAUCGGAACGUGCCCAGUCGUGGGGGAUAACGUAGCGAAAGUUACGCUAAUACCGCAUACGAUCUACGGAUGAAAGCGGGGGAUCGCAAGACCUCGCGCGAUUGGAGCGGCCGAUAUCAGAUUAGGUAGUUGGUGGGGUAAAGGCUCACCAAGCCAACGAUCUGUAGCUGGUCUGAGAGGACGACCAGCCACACUGGAACUGAGACACGGUCCAGACUCCUACGGGAGGCAGCAGUGGGGAAUUUUGGACAAUGGACGCAAGUCUGAUCCAGCCAUUCCGCGUGCAGGAUGAAGGCCCUCGGGUUGUAAACUGCUUUUGUACGGAACGAAAAGGUUUCCAUUAAUACUGGGAGCUCAUGACGGUACCGUAAGAAUAAGCACCGGCUAACUACGUGCCAGCAGCCGCAGUAA
rnacentral:rRNA from 1 species